rnacentral:rRNA from 1 species
GACGAACGCUGGCGGCGUGCCUAACACAUGCAAGUCGAGCGAUGAAAUUAGAAACGGAGUCUUCGGACGAAGUGGAAAAUGGAUUAGCGGCGGACGGAUGAGUAACACGUGAGCAACCUGCCUAUCACGUCGGGAUAGCCUCGGGAAACUGGGAUUAAUACCGAAUGAAACAUAAUCACUGCCUAGUGGAAAUGUCAAAGAUUUAUCGGUGAUAGUUGGGCUCGCGUCUGAUUAGCUAGUUGGUGAGGUAAUGGCUCACCAAGGCGACGACCAGUAGCCGGCCUGAGAGGGUGAACGGCCACAUUGGGACUGAGACACGGCCCAAACUCCUACGGGAGGCAGCAGUGGGGAAUAUUGCACAAUGGAGGGAACUCUGAUGCAGCGACGCCGCGUGAGCGAUGAAGGCUUUCGAGUCGUAAAGCUCUGUCGAAUGGGAAGAUAAUGACGGUACCAUUUGAGAAAGCCCCGGCUAACUACGUGCCAGCCGCCGCAGUAA